UAGGGAAUCUUCGGCAAUGGGGGCAACCCUGACCGAGCAACGCCGCGUGAGUGAAGAAGGUUUUCGGAUCGUAAAGCUCUGUUGUAAGUCAAGAACGGGUGUGAGAGUGGAAAGUUCACACUGUGACGGUAGCUUACCAGAAAGGGACGGCUAACUACGUGCCAGCAGCCGCGGUAAUACGUAGGUCCCCGAGCGUUGUCCGGAUUUAUUGGGCGUAAAGCGAGCGCAGGCGGUUUGAUAAGUCUGAAGUUAA
rnacentral:rRNA from 1 species